rnacentral:rRNA from 1 species
GUGGGGAAUAUUGGACAAUGGGCGAAAGCCUGAUCCAGCCAUGCCGCGUGUGUGAAGAAGGUCUUCGGAUUGUAAAGCACUUUAAGUUGGGAGGAAGGGCAGUAAGUUAAUACCUUGCUGUUUUGACGUUACCGACAGAAUAAGCACCGGCUAACUUCGUGCCAGCAGCCGCGGUAAUACGAAGGGUGCAAGCGUUAAUCGGAAUUACUGGGCGUAAAGCGCGCGUAGGUGGGUUUGUAAGUUGGAGGUGAAAUCCCCGGGCUCAACCUGGGAACUGCGUCCAAAACUGCAUGACUAGAGUACGGUAGAGGGUAGUGGAAUUUCCUGUGUAGCGGUGAAAUGCGUAGAUAUAGGAAGGAACACCAGUGGCGAAGGCGACUACCUGGACUGAUACUGACACUGAGGUGCGAAAGCGUGGGGAGCAAACAGGAUUAGAUACCCUUGUAGUCC